CAUUUCGUAGCUUUAUCGGAUCAGAUUCAGUUUUUGUUUUCUUAUUGUAUUUUCACAUUUCCUUGUGUUUUCUCAGCAACCAAAACGGUUUGCAUUUCUCUUCCCUGUGUGAAGAUUCUCUCGUUUUUCGUCACGCGAUUUGUUUGACCGAUCGAGGGAGGGUUUCAGACACCGAUUUGGGGCUUGAGAUUUUGCAUAUGAUUAUUGUUAAUAAAAAAAAUAUAAGAAAAAUUCUGAUUUAUUAAAAAAAAGAAGUUAAUUUCAGUCUGUUAAAAUGAAUAGGAUUGGACCCAAAACCUAACCAGUCCAAGCCAGCCCAAUCCAAUACUUUGAAGCCUAUCUUAACCGGUUCAAGCCAGCUCAUCAAAGGAGACGUAUUUAAGAUAAGAAUUCGUUACAUAUUUCUCAAUCUCUUUUUGGGGUGAUUCUUCAGUGCAUGCGUAUAUUAAGUACAUGCAAAAAAUUCAAAUUUUGAGAAUAUAAUUAAAAUAGAAAUGCAACCUGUGAAAGGGGGUAACCGGUUACUAAAAGUUAGAGAAAAAGAAAAGAAAAAAGAAAAGACGGGUCAAAAGAAGGCAUUCUUGGGUGAGAGUUGGCAUUUUCCGAAAACCAAAUUAGUGGGGGUUAUGCUUCUUCUUCUUAGGAAAUUGUAAAUCCCAAAUUGACAAGGUGUGUAAUGAAAAAUUCAGCUGAUCCUCUGCAUCAAAUACACGGCUACCGUGAAGGUGGACAACCGGAGUAAUGAAGAUCCCAGGUGAUCUCGUGAGUGUGGGUCGGUGUUCAUCAAAAUCUUCAAUUGAGGUAGUAGAUAGACUCAUACCGAGCGGCUGAACUGAGAUCCUCACUUCCAAGCCUGAUCUCUUAACUAUGCCUCCUCGACGUGGCAGAACGAGAACCCGUUUUCCCUAGCUUGGGGAGCCCAUUCCACCUCCACCACCUCCACCUGUCGGUGUGGGAGCUGGAGAGAAUGAGCUAGACUUGCAUCAUGUACUCGACCAGUUCACUCGAAUUGUCACCACAGCUUUACAAGGGAGGCGUAAUACUGAAGCCUUAGAUAUCAAAAGGGUUAAGGAGUUAGGAGCUCAUGAAUUCUUUGGCAGUUACCCUAUUGAAGUCGAGAAUUGGCUCACAGAUAUCGAGAGAGUGUUUGAAGUCCUGUAGUGCAUUGAUGAAGACCGAGUGCGGUUGGCAGCUUUCCUCUUGAAGGGGAACACCUAUAAUUGGUGGAAGACUGUCCGUAGAGGGCUUGCAGAUCCUAGUGUCGUCACUUGGGUGGAGUUUCAACAUGUCUUCUACGAGCAGUUCUAUCCGUAAUCGUACCAAAAUGCGAAGAAAUCUGAAUUCCUUCAUCUGAAACAGGGGUUGAUGUCCGUGCUAGAAUACGAGCGCAAGUUCUAUGAAUUAUCCCGGGUUGCCCCUGAACUAAUUCCCACUGAAGAAGAGAAGUGCAGACGGUUUGAGGAGGGUUUAUGGCUGGAUAUUCAGGAAGUGGUCACCGCCACCACUUAUCCCACUAUGAGGGCACUGGCUUAAAUAGCAGAUCGUAUGGCGAAGAAGCUUACUGCGGGUUCAGCAAGGUGUCACAAGGAUGCAUCUGGCUUUGGUGGACCGAGUCAAGGUCCAUCAAAGAGGGGUGGAUCUAGCUCCACUUCAGUAGGCAGUGGAUGGUCUAGAGGACGUGGGUCCAGUUUUGGUAGUCGAAGAUCUGGGCGUAAGCCAGCUUGGAGUCAGCAUUCUAGGCAGCAAUUAAUGGCCAGUACGACUAAGGAUCCUUGUUCGCAAACUAGGUCAACCUGUCACAACUAUGGACAGGUGAGACAUUUUAGGAGAGAUUGCCCACAACUUCGAAAAUCAGUGGUCCUAGUCAGAGGGGCAGUUAGGGUUGUUUUUAUUGCGGUCAAGUUGGGCACUUUAAAAGUGAGUGCCCUUUUCUCUCUCUUAAUGGUAUGACAAAGUAGGAGACUAGGGCCCAGCAGGGACAAGGCAGUCGAGGUCAGAGUCAGAGCCAGAGUGGUGCUUCACCAUCAGCUGCAGGCUCUUCAUCCAGUAGUGGACUGCUAUCUACUUUCAUAGGCAGGGGUGAUAGACACCUGUUUCCCUCUUUUCGACAGGGGUGGCCGACGGAAGGAACUUUUGGUCCUUCUUCUUUUGGAUGCGGGGCGUGUCACUAUCAAGCCCCGAAUUUGGGCUUGAAUGGAAUAUGAAUAGAUGGAUGUGUUGCGCUUCCAACUUCUGACCAAACGAUUGAUCAGCCAAGCAAGGAACCUCCUCUUAGCCUAGAUUCUUUCACUUCCUCAGGCUCGAGGAUGGUUAGGUUUCGUACGGAUAAAUUGAAAACGAUAAAUAAAGCAAGAACGAAAU